rnacentral:lncRNA from 1 species
GCGAUUCGAGAGCCCUUUCUGGCGCGGAGCUAGGGGCGGUGUUACGUAGCUGCCCUGAACUGAGAGCAGCGUUGGCCGGGGGCUAGGGAGCCGGGCUGUUCCACGCUCACUGUGCGCCUCGGGCGGCGGGGCUCGGGCUCUGUCCGAGGUGCUGAACUCCGGGGCUCCGGCCGCGCCGGCAGAGUGUGCCAGCGUCCAUUAUUGCCAGUGUCUGUGGGCAUCUUCCAGAAGGCCGAGCAUGGGGGUCAGGUGAAACCAGGGCGCUCCCAAGCACCUUGCCCAGUAGAGCCCCCUUGCACCCUGCUUGGUUGGUCAGCACCCCAUGGACAUGCAGCCUUGACCUUGGCAUGGGAAGCCUCCACUGUGUCAAGCCCAACAUCCAGGCCUCUGAAGACAGUCAUUCAGCCAUGAAUAUCAAUUAUUACAGAAAUGAAAAGGGAUCCUGCACCCAAAUUCAAAUCAAGCAAGUUCACCUAGAGGUUGCCGUGGGGUGGAGGGCCCAGAUCUGGGCUGUUUGGAUCUCUCUGCAGGAUGAAAGGGAUUUCCUGGACCUGGCUUUGCUGUCCCUUGCUCCUUUUGUAAGCAUCUGACUCUUCCUCUAUCCAUAAAGAUGAAGACAUUCUUUCGCAGGGAUUUAAUAUUGGGGCUGCAUGCCUGGCCCCUGAGAAAGCCCAAGCUUCCUCCUCCUUUUGAAUCGAACCCAGUGCAGCUUUAUGCGCUCCAGACGAGCCUGCAUUCCCCCUAAUGCCCCUGGAAUUGCUUACUCACACCAAAAUCCGCUGCCUCAGGCGUUUCCAGCCAGAGGUAAGCCUUCUUUUCAUGGGCAAUCAGGCAGUAGCCUGGAGCACAGAGGGGAAGGGGGGCACCUGCAUGCCCGGCUGGGUCUCUGUAGACAGUGGAUCAUGCGAGGCCUCCCCUCUCCUUGACCCUGUGUGAUGAGCCCUGGGAGGAGGCACCCAGGCCAGGGGAGGAGCUGCGUAGUGACAGAAAGGGCAUCUACAUCUCUACCACGUAAGUGGGGAAACUGAGGCUGGGCCUAGCACCAGAUCACUCAUGUUGAAACCUAGGUUUGAACUGGGUCUCUGAAUCCCCAUCCAGAGCUCACUGCCUUAAGGCUGAGGUGCCUGUGAGUGUCUGAGGACCCUUACUAUGAGACAGUGUUAUCGCUGACUUACAGUCUGGGUAAAGAAGGUGAAUGCAGUCAGAGGAGUAGAUUCAGGUGUCAGACAUUUGCAUAAAAUACCAAUUGCUCCUCAUGUUGGGGAGGUAAUUCACAAGCUUGAAUCUCUAAAAGGCUGCAUCUGGUGGAGGGCGGGGCUAUGUGUCUGUGCACGUCUGGUCUUUGGAGUUCUUAUUCAGCAAAUAUUGAUUGCAAGCCCACCAUGUGCCAGGCAUCAUGCCUGGGGCUUGGGAUCCAGAGAUGAAGAGACAGUCAACCAAGUCCAUCAGGCUCUGCCAACCCCUGUAGUGUGAGUGGUGGUUGGAGCACGUGUUAUACCCCCAAAAGGUGGGCUUGGCCAAGCCCUUCCACUUACCAGCCAUGUGUCCUUCUGGAUGGCAGUUUCCUCAUCUGCAAAAUGUGUGUAGCCCUAAGACCUGUCACCCAGGACCAUUUGGGAGGUCAGCUGUUGUUUUGCAGGUGAAAAGAUCCAUCUGGUCUCUGGGCCUGGCACUCUAUCUAUAAAAUGAGGCUCUACUCCAGCAUGUACCCACGGUGUGCUCUGGGUAGUAAACUGUGGUGGUUUAGCACUUUGCCUUUGGGUCUGACAGUCCUGGAUUCAAAUCCAGACUCUGCCCUCUACUGUGUAACCUGGUGCAUGUCACUUAACCUCUGUGGAACCCAGUAUUCUCAACUAUUAAAUGAGGAUGAUAAUAGUAGUAAUCAUAGUAGUACCUAGCUCAGACUGUUGGUGUAAAAAUUAAAUGAGCUAAUUAAAAUUAAAAAGUAAAGUGUUUUGCACAGAGACACUCCUAGUAAGCCCUGAAGAAAUGAGAGCUAUGCUUUUGAUUAUUAAUAUUCUUAUAAUCCAAAGGAUGAUGCAGGAUUUUUUAAAUCUUUCCACAUGUAUGUUUUUGGACCAGUCCAAAAAAGAAUUGGAAACACACUUAUGCCGCAUAAAGACAGAGUUAUGAGGAACUAUAAAAACAAAAUAAAACCUUUGGA